rnacentral:rRNA from 1 species
UACGAAGGGGGGCUAGCGUUGCUCGGAAUCAUUGGGCGUAAAGGGCGCGUAGGUGGUUCUGUAUGUCUACCGUGAAAGCGUACGGCUCAACCGUAUUUUGUCGGUGGAAACUGCAGGACUUGAGGCUGGGAGGGGCUGGUGGAAUUCCCUGUGUAGCGGUGAAAUGCGUAGAGAUGGGGGAGAACACUCGUGGCGAAGGCGGCCAGCUAGACCAGUUCUGACACUGAGGCGCGACAGCGUGGGGAGCAAACAGG